AUCCAGUUGGUGAGUCCCAAAUAGGACGAAAUGCGCUUUAUCCUGGAU
rnacentral:hammerhead_ribozyme from 1 species